rnacentral:lncRNA from 1 species
UAAAAGAAGGGGCAUUAUAAACAUGAAUGUAUAUGUAGAAAAAAGAAAGAUUGAAGAAGGAAGUAGAAAAAAUAUUUUUAGUAAAAUACCUAUUCUACUUAGGAGCCGUUUGGUUAAAUGUAAUUACAAAUGUUGUGUAAUUGAAGAUACAUGCAGUUGAAUAACUACAUGCAUCAUGUUUGGUUAGAUAUAGUGGAAAACGUUGUAACUAUAAAAAUUUGUUUGGUUGCAUGCAAUUGAGAAAUAAUUUUUAAAAUUUUAUCAUUUUAUAUAUAUGAUGGUAAGAUUACCUCCAAUGUAAAAAAAAUUUAUUUUUUGUUUAAAAAAUAUUUAAAGAGGUAAGGUUACAUUUUGUUUAAAGUUACACUCCAACUGCUGCAGUUGGAACUGCGGCCAAUUUGGGCGUAGUUCCAACUGCUGUAGUUGGACCUCCUCCUGCAGUUCCUACUAUAGUAGUUGUAGUUAAAUAUAUCAAACAAAACACCGAAUUUGCAUUUGCAUGCAGUUACAACUGCCGUGCAGUUGCAACUACAUGCAACCAAACGGCCCCUUAAUGUAGAGAAUGAUGCAAAAACAUUACAAA